rnacentral:rRNA from 1 species
GUAACACGUGGGUGACCUACCUUCGAAUGGGGGAUAACGUCCCGAAAGGGACGCUAAUACCGCAUAACAUCCCGUCCUUGAAUGGAUGGAGAUCAAAGCCGGGGAUCGCAAGACCUGGCGUUUGAAGAGGGGCCCGCGUCCGAUUAGCUAGUUGGUGGGGUAACGGCUCACCAAGGCAACGAUCGGUAACCGGCCUGAGAGGGCGGACGGUCACACUGGGACUGAGACACGGCCCAGACUCC